UUUCAGAGUCAGUUCUGAAAGCACAGAACAUAAUAUCAAACGUAAACAGAACACACGAUUGGAGAUACAAACACCAUAACGUCACCCUAGGACAACUAUGGACAAGAGCCAGAAAAUUUUCGCAUUUGAAUGGGAGAACCCCAAAACUGGACGGAGGAACCAGCUCAAAUGGGGAACAGCUUGCCAAGGAUUUAGAAUCUUGGGAACCUCCACCAGGAGAAGGACAGUUGCUUCAGUACGUGGAUGAUCUCCUGAUAGCCACCCAGACCCAGGAAACAUGUGUGGAUUGGAUGAAGAGAGCAGAGAUCUCCAGUGGACAAAAGAAGCAACCCAAGCUUUCGACCAACUAAAGAAGACCCUCAUGUCAGCUCCAGCCUUAGGACUUCCAGACGCCUGCAUUUUCAGAAGGACUGGAGGACAAAGAAGUUAAGAUAACAUCUCCACUCCUGUGAUGUUACUUGUCCCUAACCUUGACUGUGCAGCAGUGAAGGCAAGAUAAAAAACUUCAUAGCAUGAAAGGAUUUUCUCUGAAAUGGCAACACAGUAAUUCAGGUCAAGACAACAGGAAAAACUGCAUCACUUUCUGCUAAAAAUUCAUUGGGUAGAGUGGCAAAAUCUGACAACCCUGCCCAGCAGUGGAUAGCUAUCUGUGCUGCCUUUGUGCUCACAUCUCAGCUGCAAGAUUUUAAGGGAAUCUUCGUGACAUCAUUCCUCCAUUUUAAAGACAGUGGCCAUGUUCAGGAUGAGAAAACACAAGAAUACCUCUGAUUGUUGAAAUCAAAGAUUAGUCCAAGCCAGUGUUGUGUCUUUAAGAUAAAACACUUCCUCACCUGUGCUAUCUCGCAUCCUGAAAACAGCUUGUAUUGUCAUCCUGGGACAAAACCAUGCUCAUGGACACUGGAUAUGGUCUAUGCAUCUCUGAAAUGAUUUAUUCUUAAGCAGUUCUUUAAGCAGUUCUACUGGGUUACUCUAUAUUGUGCAGGGAAAGCUAUUCCCUUCCCUUCCCUUCAUCUUAAAUUUACUGUAUAUAGAAAUUUUGUAGAAGACUUUUAGCCUUUCCCUUUUUUUUUUUUUUAACAAAUUAACAACUUCUCUCAGUCUUCUGUCUCCCCGUCAUAGAAUCAUGGAAUGGCUUGGGUUGGAAGGGACGUUUAAUACCAUCUUAGUCCAACCUCUUUUUCAUCAAUUUCCCUUGCAAUACUGGAAAAACAAGAGGUCCCUCAGAGCCUUCUCUUCUCUGUGCUGAACAAUUUAAACUCUCUCAGCCUGUGUUUGUAGGAGGCAAGCUCCCGGAUUCUGAUCAUCUCCAUGGCCUCUUCUGGAGUUGAUCUAGCAGAACCACAUCCUUCUCAUGCUGGAGGCUCCAGAAUUGGAUGCAGCACUCCAUGUGGGAUCUCACAAGAGCAGAGUGAGAGGGGGAGGAUCACCUCCCUCAAUCUGCUGGCCUAGUGGCCUCACAUCAGCUGUCAUGUCAUACAGUACCAUUAGAUCACUUUUCUGAAAGGAAAAUUAACUGUAUAGAAAUGUUAUUUCUUAUCAUAGUCAUGUCAUAUCACAGAAACAGAUGGAAGCAGUAUAUUCAGAUUAGUCACCAGAAAAAGUUGUGAAGAAUUUGAUGAAUUCUAGAAGCAGCUGGCAAAAUUAGGUGGAGGUGGGAUGAACUGGUAGAACAGUUCAAUAAAGGACUGUUGAAGGGAGAAGAGACCAGAAGGUAUAAACACAGUGAGGGCAUAUUUUUCAAAAUAUACUCUCACUCUAUAUCCCAAGACUAUGAAACAGAAAUGCUACAGAAAAUUAUAGUGAAAUUAUUUAAUGCAUUGAGAUAUGAAUAUUGUAUUCUCAGAGGAAUCCCAUU
ensembl:lncRNA